rnacentral:piRNA from 1 species
UGGUAACGAUUUUUGGAAUAA